AUCGAACGCUGGCGGCAGGCCUAAUACAUGCAAGUCGAACGAGUGGCGGACGGGUGAGUAAUGUCUGGGAAACUGCCUGAUGGAGGGGGAUAACUACCGGACACGGUAGCUAAUACCGCAUAUCUUCGGUUGUGCCCUGAUGGGCUUAGCAAGUCGGUGGGGUAAAGGUGCCCCUGGGCGCCGAUCCCUAGCUGGUCGGAGAGGAUGACCGACCACACUGGAAGUCAGACAGGGUCCAGACUGCUCCGAGAGACUGCAGUGGGGACUAUUGCACAUUGGGCGCAUGCCUGAUGCAGGCAUGGCGCGUGUAGGAAGAUGGCCUUCGGUUUCUAAAGUACGUUCGGCGGGGCGGCGGUACCCGCAGAGGAAGCGCCGGCUAACUCCGUGCCAGCAGCCGCGGUAAUAC
rnacentral:rRNA from 1 species